rnacentral:rRNA from 1 species
UACGAAGGGUGCAAGCGUUGCUCGGAAUUAUUGGGCGUAAAGGGUGCGUAGGCGGCGGGGCAAGUCAGGUGUGAAAUCCCGGAGCUCAACUCCGGAACUGCACUUGAUACUGCCUCGCUAGAGUACUGGAGAGGAGACGUGGAAUUUACGGUGAGCAGUGAAAUGCGUAGAGAUCGUAAGGAAGACCAGUGGCGAAGGCGAGUCUCUGGACAGUUACUGACGCUGAGGCACGAAGGCCAGGGGAGCAAACGGG